AGCUAACUCUAACCUUUCUUCACA
rnacentral:siRNA from 1 species